UUUAGGGUUCUGUGAUACAGGCAGGGGCUGUGGUUUAGGGUUCUGGGAUACAGGGGCUGUGGUUUAGGGUUCUAGGAUACAGGGGCUGUGGUUUAGGAUUCUCUGAUACAGGGACUGUGGCUUAAGGUUCAGUGAUACAGGAGCUGUGGUUUAGGGUUCUGUGAUACAGGGGCUGUUGUUUAGGGUUCUGUGAUAGAGGGGCUGUUGUUUAGGGUUCUGUGAUACAGGGGCUGUGGUUGUGGUUCUGUGAUACAGGAGCUGUGGUUUAGGGUUCUGUGAUACAGGGGCUGUGGUUUAGGGUUCUGUGAUACAGGGGCUGUGGUUUAGGGUUCUGUGAUACAGGGGCUGUGGUUUGGGGUUCUGUGAUACAGGGGCUGGGGUUUAGGGUUCUGUGAUACAGGGGCUGUGGUUUAGGAUUCUCUGAUACAGGGGCUGUGGUUUAUAGUUCUGUGAUAAAAGGGCUGUGGUUUAGGGUUCUGUAAUGCAGGAGCUGUGGUUUAGGGUUCUGUGAUACAGGGGCUGUGGUUGUGGUUCUGUGAUACAUGAGCUGUGGUUUAGGGUUCUGUGAUACAGGAGCUGUGGUUUAGGGUUCUGUGAUACAGGGGCUGUGGUUUAGGGUUCUGUGAUACAGGGGAUGUGGUUUAGGUCAGUGAUACAGGAGCUGUGGUUUAAGUGAUACAGCGGCAGUGAUACAGGAGCUGUGGUUUAGAGUUCAGUGAUACAGGAGCUGUGGUUUAGCGUUCUGUGAUACAGGGGCUGUGGUUUAAGGUUCUGUGAUACAGGAGUUAGGGUUUCUGUGAUACAGGAGCUGUGGUUUAGAGUUCAGUGAUACAGGAGCUGUGGUUUAGCGUUCUGUGAUACAGGGGCUGUGGUUUAAGGUUCUGUGAUACAGGAGCUGUGGUUUAGGGUUCUUUGAUACAGGAGCUGUGGUUUAGAGUUCAGUGAUACAGGAGCUGUGGUUUAGAUGCAGUAAGGAUGCAGAUCGUUCUGGUGGGUCUUGUUAUUUGUUGUGUCACGAUGCCUAUGCCUCACAUUCAGUGAGCAGCAUUAGAAAGAGACCUUGUGGGAUUGUAUUUUCCUAGAGUGAGAAUCAGCAUGUGUUCCCUGGGCGGCUUGACCUAAAUCUGGGGGUCAAUGAGCAGGUCUCCCCCGAGGCUUCUCUGUUCCCUAAAACUCCUGAGAUCAGCAGCCGGAACAGUCUGCCCCUGGCACUGGAAAUCCCAAAACUGUGUGUGCUCAUUUGUGAAUUAAUAAGAGGAACUCACAAAGCAAUGAAUGGCAUUUAAUUACACUGUAUCAGAGCCAGGGGGCGGAGAGAGUGUAAGCUCUGUGGGUUGAAACAUUAUGUUGAUUUUAACGUGGAGAAAAACGUUCACAGUACUGCUUUAUAAGCUCUGAUACACAAGAGGGCCAUGCCUGACAUUUACAUUCGGAGACUAUUUACCAG